rnacentral:rRNA from 1 species
UACGGAGGAUCCAAGCGUUAUCCGGAUUUAUUGGGUUUAAAGGGUGCGUAGGCGGAAUUGUAAGUCAGUGGUGAAAGCCCUUCGCUUAACGAAGGAACUGCCAUUGAUACUGCAAAUCUUGAGUACAUUUGACGAGGGCGGAAUGUGUCAUGUAGCGGUGAAAUGCUUAGAUAUGACACAGAACACCGAUUGCGAAGGCAGCUCUCGAAACUGUAACUGACGCUGAGGCACGAAAGCGUGGGUAUCAAACAGGAUUAGAUACCCUGGUAGUCCACGCUGUAAACCAUGAUUACUCGAUGUUUGCGAUACACUGUAAGCGUCUAAGCGAAAGCGAUAAGUAAUCCACCUGGGGAGUACGCUCGCAAGAGUGAA